rnacentral:rRNA from 1 species
AUAAAAAACCAAUGCCCUUCGGGGCUCCUUGGUGAUUCAUAAUAACUUAACGAAUCGCAUGGCCUUGUGCCGGCGAUGGUUCAUUCAAAUUUCUGCCCUAUCAACUUUCGAUGGUAGAGUAGUGGUCUACCAUGGUUUCAACGGGUAACGGGGAAUUAGGGUUCUAUUCCGGAGAGGGAGCCUGAGAAACGGCUACCACAUCCAAGGAAGGCAGCAGGCGCGCAAAUUACCCAAUCCCGACACGGGGAGGUAGUGACAAUAAAUACUGAUACAGGGCUCUUUUGGGUCUUGUAAUUGGAAUGAGUACAAUUUAAAUCCCUUAACGAGGAACAAUUGGAGGGCAAGUCUGGUGCCAGCAGCCGCGGUAAUUCCAGCUCCAAUAGCGUAUAUUAAAGUUGUUGCAGUUAAAAAGCUCGUAGUUGAACCUUGGGCCUGGCUGGCCGGUCCGCCUCACCGCGUGCACUGGUCCGGCCGGGCCUUUCCUUCUGGGGAGCCGCAUGCCCUUCACUGGGUGUGUC